CCUACGGGAGGCUGCAGUCGAGAAUCAUUCACAAUGGGGGAAACCCUGAUGGUGCGACGCCGCGUGGGGGAAUGAAGGUCUUCGGAUUGUAAACCCCUGUCAUGUGGGAGCAAAUUAAAAAGAUAGUACCACAAGAGGAAGAGCCGGCUAACUCUGUGCCAGCAGCCGCGGUAAUACAGAGGUCUCAAGCGUUGUUCGGAUUCACUGGGCGUAAAGCGUGCGUAGGCUGUUUCGUAAGUCGUGUGUGAAAGGCGCGGGCUCAACCCGCGGACGGCACAUGAUACUGCGAGACUAGAGUAAUGGAGGGGGAACCGGAAUUCUCGGUGUAGCAGUGAAAUGCGUAGAUAUCGAGAGGAACACUCGUGGCGAAGGCGGGUUACUGGACAUUAACUGACGCUGAGGCACGAAGGCCAGGGGAGCGAAAGGGAUUAGAUACCCCAGUAGUC
rnacentral:rRNA from 1 species